GUCGACCCCUGUCGGCAAAUACGCACACGCGUCGGCACGUUGCUCCAGGGUGCCUGUUUCCGUUUGGUGAUGGGUUGGAGUGAUCGGGCGCGUGGAGGACUAACC
rnacentral:sRNA from 1 species